AAUCAAAAUCAAGUUCUUUCUGUUAUAAGAAUUACGUUAAUAGCAGAAGAAUUAUCUUGUUGUUCGAUAUAUCUUAUCGCAAUUUCAUGCACCUUCCAUCCAAAUGAUCUAUUCUCUUUUUCAUUUUCGUCUCUGCUGACAGCUGGGUGAAAAUGUGGUCAAUUAAAACCAGACAGGAUAAGAGGAAGUACCUUCUAAAUAGAAUUAUUCAAAAUUUCCAAAAACUAAAUCAAAACUGAUUAUUUGAAAAUUUUUGUUAAGACCAAAUUAAAUUAGAUGCAAUAUUAUCACAAAUAUGAUAAUUUUAUACAAUAAAAGUCUUCUGUAAAGUUUAACCAAUAACUUCUUUUAAUUGAGAGAGAUUUUUUACAGUCCGAUAAUAUUUAAAUUGGGAGGAGAAAUUCUUUGUGAUUUCUUUUUCAAAUAAAAUUUUUCUUAGUUUUAGAGUAUGAACCAGGACAAUCUCAAUCCCGAUUUCAUUGAUCUUGUUUUUUUCUGUUAUGCACUCUUAUUUUCAAGAUUCUUCUAUUUUAUUAUUUUUUUUUCUGAUGUCAGGUUGCUUGUGUUCCAUAGUUUGGCGUAUAUCUUCCUGAUUUUUUUUUAUUGUUUCGUAGAUUACUGCCAAAAUUUGCUGUCUCGCAUAGAUCCAAACACCUACAGUCUCCACUCUCUCGAAUCCUAGGGCUGAUUCGUCUGGCCACAGUCCUAGGCAAAGCUUCCUGACCCUGUUCUUCACCUUUUUCUGGAAGUACAGAUUGGCUUUCCUCAUUUAUUGUUUUUAAAAGAAGCGAUUAUGUGUUUUUCCCCCAUUGUGAGGAAUAGUGGACUUAGUUCAUUAUACAUGAUAUAUAUUUUUACAAUUCAAUCAUUUCUUCUUUGCAGAUGUGGCUUUCCCCUUCGUAUUUUUUUUCUAUAUUUAAUUCUUUAUUUUACAAAUCAUUAAUUUUAGAUAAAGGAAGACCAUUC
rnacentral:lncRNA from 1 species